rnacentral:rRNA from 1 species
GGAAGCAGCUUGCUGCUUUGCUGUCGAGUGGCGGACGGGUGAGUAAUGUCUGGGAAACUGCCUGAUGGAGGGGGAUAACUACUGGAAACGGUAGCUAAUACCGCAUAACGUCGCAAGACCAAAGUGGGGGACCUUCGGGCCUCAUGCCAUCAGAUGUGCCCAGAUGGGAUUAGCUAGUAGGUGGGGUAAUGGCUCAUCUAGGCGACGAUCCCUAGCUGGUCUGAGAGGAUGACCAGCCACACUGGAACUGAGACACGGUCCAGACUCCUACGGGAGGCAGCAGUGGGGAAUAUUGCACAAUGGGCGCAAGCCUGAUGCUGCCAUGCCGCGUGUAUGAAGAAGGCCUUCGGGUUGUAAAGUACUUUCAGCGAGGAGGAAGGCAUUAAGGUUAAUAACCUUAGUGAUUGGCGUUACUCGCAGAAGAAGCACCGGCUAACUCCGUGCCAGCAGCCGCGGUAAUACGGAGGGUGCAAGCGUUAAUCGGAAUUACUGGGCGUAAAGCGCACGCAGGCGGUCUGUUAAGUCAGAUGUGAAAUCCCCGGGCUCAACCUGGGAACUGCAUUUGAAACUGGCAGGCUUGAGUCUCGUAGAGGGGGGUAGAAUUCUAGGUGUAGCGGUGAAGUGCGUAGAGAUCUGGAGGAAUACCGGUGGCGAAAGCGGCCCCCCUGGACGAAGACUGACGCUCAGGUGCGAAAGCGUGGGGAGCAAACAGGAUUAGAUACUCCUGGUAGUCCACGCCGUAAACGAUGUCGACUUGGAGGUUGUGCCCUUGAGGCGUGCUUCCGGAGCUAACGCGUUAAGUCGACCGGCCUGGG